rnacentral:lncRNA from 1 species
CCGAUAGUGCCUGCUACCUCUUUUUUUUUAAAAAAAAAAACCAAAAACCUUUCUAAAAUUCUAAAUUCUAAAAGAAAUUGCAAUAAUUAAAAAAAAACAAAAACACAAAAACCAACCAAAAACCAAACAAACCAAAAUACAAAAAAAUAAACCCCAAAACCAAAAAAACCAAAGCACUUACCAUUCUGACCUCAUAGUGCUUUGUCAUGGGCUUAAAAAAAAAACCAAACCCACAGACACAUAAAGACACAGACAGACACACAGACACCGACACGCACAAACAAACACGCGCGCGUAUUUAUGCGUUUUCAAAACAUUUGUGCCAGGGUCACGAAGGGGAUGUGGGGAGCUGCCGGCGCAGCGCAGAGCAGAGCGGUCGCUGCACAAAAGGAGGGCGAGCCCCGCAGCCCGGACCCACCAAGCGCGCCCCGCACCACCGCCCCUCCAGACCACGCAGGAACAGCAAGAGUUUGGUCUUAGAUUCCUCUGUACCUUUCUACCCUGCUUCUACAUUCACCCAAUUUGAAGUGACUGAAGACUAGUUACUGGAAAACUAGUGAAUUUCCUUACUAUUGUCUGGAAUUUGAGGAGGUCUGGAUGAUUGCAUCUUUUAAAAAAGAAAUCCUUUCAUCCUUUUCUUUUUCUGGAAAACCUCCGACCCUCAAAAAUGUAGGUAAUGGAAA